GUACCCGGCGAGCAAGGCUCCGCCCCAACCCCCGCCGCCGCUAGCGUCCCGGGAAGGCACGGCUCACUGAAGGCUGCUCGCUCACAACUCUUCCCCGCGCUCGCCAAAACGUCUCCUCUGCUUUCCCGCUCUUGGUAUCAGGGCCAAGGGCGGCCGGCAGGCUCUGACCGGUGACCUCCGUACGCUCCCAGCUGGAUGUGAGCUCCAGGAGUGCCAGGGCCAAGAACUGCGUUCACCAGUGUAUGUGACUGACAGAGGUCUGACCUUAGACUGAAGACAUUUUCAAAGUGGAAACUUUCACAUGGCUUCUUCACUGAGGCCUUCCCUGGUGGCGCAGUGGUUAAGAAUCUGCCUGCUAAUGCUGGGGACAUGAGUUCGAGCCCUGGUCCGGGAAGAUCCCACAUGCUGCGGAGCAGCUAAGCCCGUGCGCCACAACUACUGAGCCCAAGUGCCACAACUACUGCAGCCCCCGUGCCUAGAGCCUGUGCUCUGCAACAAAGAGAAGCCACUGCAAUGAGAAGCCCACACACCACAACGAAGAGUAGCCCCUGUUCGCCGCAACUAGAGAAAGCCCGCGCACAGCAACGAAGACUCAAUGCAGCCAAAAAAUAAAGAAAUAAAUUAAUUAAUUAGUUUUAAAAAAUUCUCAUAGAAAACACGUGGGUAAUGAAGAGGUUUCCAGUCUAAACCACUGCUCUAUCAUUUAAUGGCAGCAUUCUUUCUCAGAAGCCAAGGUUACAGAACCAGCAUAGGACUUUCCUUGUGGCUCUCAUUCUAGUAGCCUCGUGAUAUAAUAUCUCUGUUGUUUUCCCACGUGGCUUCCUUAUUAAAAUAUUUUGGGGAAGGAUCCAGGCACUUCCAUCCCUUCCAGAAAAUACGUACUGCCUUACCUGGUCAUUUUACUGCCAUUUGAUCAAAGAUUGUUCCCCAUUGAGGAAAUAUGAGGUAGGUUAAAAACAACAACAACAGAAAGUGCGAAUGUACUCUCUGGGCAAGCAGAUGCAACUACUUCCUAAGCUACACAAGAACUGCUGAAAUUCAGGGACUGCAUCUGUUUAAAAACAUUGGUCUAAAAUAAUACGUAGCCCGGAAUUCCCUGGCAGUCCAGUGGUUAAGAAUCUGUGCUUUCACUGCCGAGGGCCCAGGUUCAAUCCCUGGUCGGGGAACUAAGAUCCCAUAAGCCACGCGGUGCCACCAAAAAAUGAAUAAAUAAAUAAAAUAAUACUUAGCCAAAUAUUCAGUUGCAUUACUUAGCAAAUAUUUGCUACAUUUCUAUUUGCUAAAUAUCUCAUACAAGGCUCCACAAUAGGCACAGUUAAAAUACAAAGCUAAGUAAGUCAGGGAUUUGCUUUCAAGAAGCUGGUCAUCCAACCGAGGUAAUAAAAUAUGUCAAAAUUUCUUCCUUUUUAAAUAGCAAACGUUGAUUGAGUAAAUAUAUGUUCUAGAACUGUCUAAGGGAGUUCUAUACCUUAUUUAAUCCUCACAACCUUAAGAGAUUGCCCGCAUUUUACAAAUGAGAAAACUGAGGCAAAAAUUAUGAAAAUACUCAACGUUAUAUGGUUAUUAAGUAGCACUGGCAGGGUCCAAAUACAAAUAGUCACCUCCAAAAUAUGAGCUUUUUAGUCACUAUUCUAUCUUGCUUCUCGUUUCAAAAAGAAAGAAAGAAAUUAAUAUUAGUAUUUGCCUUUAGAGAAAAAUUGGAAUUAUACAGAAAAAUAGAAAAGAACAUAAACCCUCAAAGUCCUACCACCUAACAAAACAGCUGUUAAAUAUGCAAAUACUACUCUUUAACUUCAACUAUAAUUAUAUUAUAAGAAAGAUAUAUCAAUAGAUAAAGGGCUACAAGAGUUCAGAGGUAGGAAAGAGGAUUUCCUGCUGGAUCUUGAAGGACAAGGUAAGAUGUGGAUGUUGGGGCAUUCCAGGCAAAAAGAACUGCAAGCACAGGAGCAUGGACUCAAGGAGGCCCAGGACUUAUAGGAGAAACAGCAAGAAGUUGUUUGGCUGGAAAACCACCUUGAGCAAUGAAGCUAGAAAACUAAAGGCGAAGUCAUAAAAAGCCUAGAAUUCCUCUACCUUUCAUCUUAUCAGUACUGGUAAUACUGCACUAAUUACCGUUUAUUUCUGUGUCAAUCUCCUCUGUUAGCCUGAGAAUUCCAGUCUAUAUUGAGCAUUUAUUGUGUGCUGUGCUGAGCACUGGCGAUGACAAAUAAACAAGUUAUGU